CAAACCAAAAAAAAGAAAAAAGAAAACCAACUAGAACCUGAUCUUUGGAGAAGAAAAGAAUCAAACUAAGAGCUUUCAGGAUUUGCUUCUCCUUUUACUCUUAGGGCAUUUACAUAAAUGGAAGAACAUUUAGGCUAACCUUGUUUAGGGCAGCGUGUUUUACUUGGAAGUACCUUUUUCAGAUUUUCUUUCAGUGAAGGGGUGCCACUAUAGUGCCCCCUGUGAGGGUAUUCGAUGAUGAUAAUUGAAUUAAACCCUUUGGAGAAGAUAAAAUACAAAUGCCAGGGUGUAAGAUUUGGUUCGUAUGUUAGUUUUAACUAAUUAACUAUUUAAUUUUAGCUAAUGCUCUUCUCACAACCCUUACUUAGCACUUAGUUCUGGAUUCUUAAAUCCUGAGGAAGGAGUCACCCUUCCAGAUGCAGUCGCUGGGGUGCAUCCCCUGGUCAUCCUCUGGGGCUCUCUUCGAUCCUAUUCUGGACAUCAUUAUUAACUGGUCUCUCCUGUUUUUCUAUAACAUUGACUCAUCCUGGUUGAUGUUUGUCUCUCCAGCUUGGCUUAGGAGCCUUUCUAAAUCAGAGUUUGGGUAACUCCCAUGGUAGGCAGUAGAGCAAAUAUUAUUGAAGUAACUAAAUGGAAAAAGUAACAACCAUACAGUCAGAAAAAAGACUAGAGAAAAUUAUUAAAGUUUUCUGUAAAAAAAAAAAAAAACUUCUAUUAAGGUUUUUUGUAGACUACCGCAUAGAGAAUUUCAUUACAUUGGCUCUGGUUCUAAAGAAAAACAUGAUAUCAGGUGUCAGAACUCACUCGUAUUUAUAGGAAGAAUACACCCGGGCCGUCAACAACAGCUUCUUUGGUUACAGAAUUACAGGAACUGCUGAGAACCUAAGCUCUUUAAGGAGUCUACAGGGGACUCCUUUAAGACUCAUUCACAUAGGCAGUUUCAAAUGAAGUGGAGAAAAAUUAACAGUUGGAGUGUAGGGGUGAAGGAACAUUCCCAUAAAUUUAGGCAAGACGGCAGACCUUUCCAGUUUUCUGACGUUUCACUGAAGGCGAGUAAUUCUGGCCUGAGAAAGCCAAGGGUGUCAACAGGAAGGCUGUCGAGUCUACAUUCCUAAGAGCCUUUAUCCCGAGGGGGUGAGUGACCUGCACUAUAGAGACUAUUUCUGUUGCUACCAGCGGAGGUUGUAGAUGCCUGGUUUUACAAUAACAUCGUCCUUUGCCUGUGGCGACGCUGGGCUCACCUGAAUCCGUGGGGUUCUCCUUUCUGAUGGAUGGAAACAAGCAGGGAUUCUGCUCCCCAGGAACCCGCGCUGGAAAGAUGACCUGUAGCAGGAGACGUUCAGCGAUGACGCCAUUCAACAACAACAACAAAAAAGAUUAAAAGGAAGAAAUACCAGAUGAUUAAAUUAAAAAACCCUUCUUUGCAAAUCACAGUUAAUGAUGAGGAAUACUGGACCUCCCUUUGGCUGCUUUUUCUGGAUCAAUCCACCUGGGAACUUUUAUCCAAAGAACUCGUAUAGAAUUCACUGAACUUGUAGACUACAGUUAGGACAUGGGAAAAGGAUUGACUUCUAUUGUGGGCAAUGGAAAAUAUUUGGGGCGCACAGAUGGCAAUACUCUGCUUUUGUCUUUUUCCCUUGGAGGGGGAGGACUUGCCCUGAGCGGCCCAGGAAACCCAACCCUGUGCUCUGCAGGCCUUUCUUUCUUCCUUGUGCCCUUUUUACCUUUACUCUCAGUCUGGGUCUCUUGCUCCGCUCUCUCAUGGUUCUCCUGAUGCAGCUGCAAUGGGGGAAAUACAGACCAUUGAUUUGGCACUUGGAGAAGCAGGUGACAAACAGUCCAGCCCAUGUGGCUUCGAGUAUGUGUGUGUGUCGGGGGGUCAGUGCGUGCUGCUUCUGUGCAGUGUGGGGAGAGGAAAACACUUUCCGCGAGGAGAGUCAGUGCGGAGUCGAGCAGUUACCUGAUGACUUUUCCAGAGUUCUGGGAAGAACAGCUGUCCCGCUGUCGAGACUUUUGCUGCGUCUUUGUUUUCCAUUUCGGCAAUUUCUGCUCUUUUACCUUCUCCUUCAUUCUAUAUCCUUUGGGUUUACUCUGUUUUGUGUUGUGUUUUAACUUCUUAUUUUAGGUUCACGCCGAAACAACUGACAUAGCUCAGUGACUCAACACACAAGAGUUUACAUGUUCUUCACGCGCACUCCUCUGUGGGUGUGCUGGCUGGGCAACUCUCCAUACCAGCUCUCCUCCAGCCAGCGGCUCAGGGACUCAGCACAACCUGACGUCCAUCGGCACAACAACGUUUGCUUUAUUCUUCCAAUGGAAGGCUCUGCAGCGAGAGAACACGAAUGAAUCCCACUCUUCAUAUCCAAGACGAAAUCUAGGAACACGAUGCUGAGUGGAACGAGGAAGUGCCAGCAUUCAACCCACAGGGUAACACUCCAUUGCCUUCCAAAAGAGGCUGGCCAGUUUCUUACGUUUCACUAAAGUAGAAGAACCGUUACAUAUGCAUGUUCAGACCCAUCGCGAAUGACUCAUGUGGCUGCAACAUGGAGAGAUCGGCAGUUCUCACGGACCCUGAACUCGACAAACAUUCCUGCUUUCCUUAACAUUCCUUUCCUAUUGCCUCAAUUAAAUAAUGUACACCAUAAAACAUCUUUCUUUAAUUUUCUUUUCAGCAACGCCUAAAUUAUUUUAUUAGUUAUGCAAAGUUGGGCACCCUGUGGUUGGCUUAUUCUUUUCUUUUGUAAUUUACUUUUCAUUUGGAAAAGAGUGAAAUGCUUGAUGUAUUGAUAUGAAGGCUAAAAGAUCAGUCAUGCACAGUGCUGGUCACGGUCACUGCAGGAAACAGAUGGCACCCUCCAAGGGGGUCACUGAUGAGAGUCUCCUGAAUGGGUUAUUUACAGAAGUGUUGUCAGAUGCAGAGAUCUCCUGAGGGACAGCGAAGCCCCUCAGAUUCAGCAGGAAGGACCACAAAUUAGGGGAGGAAGAGGUCCCUGGAACCCAGGGAGAAUGCGGCAGGAGGAGAGGGGAAGGGAUGCCCACUGGAAGCCUUGAUCUUCGGUAGAAGUUCACUGCCAAUGCAGGAGAGAGAGAGAGAGAGAGAGAGAGAGAGAGAGAGAUAGAAGAGAACGUGUCCUGACCUUCCUCUCCUUCUGUCACUGCCUACCACCAUUGUCAGGACACAACCAGAAGACAGAGGGCAGGAAAGCCUGGUGGAUGAAGGGGUCCACAGAGGGCAGCUUCCUGUGGCCCAAAGCAGGGGUUAUGGUGCCAGGAAGUUUUGGGGGAGUGAAGAGUAGAUCUGAAAUGAAAAUCAGAAAACAUCGGGCACACUUACGAGACAGUUGCCACAGUGGUGGAUGUAUUUUUAUUAAUUCUUUUCAAAUGGCACAAAAUACUUUCCCCUUCAUGUUUUGAUAAUUGC